GGAGGGAGCAAGAGAGAAAGAGAGAGAGAGAAGUGGGGAGAGGGAGGGAGAGAUGGAGGAGGAGGAGAGAAAUAGAGAGAGAGAGAGAAGUGGAAGAGGGAGUGAGAGAGAGAAAUAGAGAGAGAAAGAGAAGUGGAAGAGGGAGAGAGGGAGAGAAAUAGAGAGAGAGAAGUGGAAGAGGGAGAGCGAGAAAGAAGAGAGAGAGAAGUGGGAGAGAAAGGGAGAGAUAUAAGUGGAAGUGGAAGAGGAGGAGAGAAAUAGAGAGAGAGAGAGAAGUGGAAGAGGGAGCGAGAGGGAGAGGGAGAGAGAGAGAAGUGUAAGAUGGAGAGGCAGAGAGAGAGAAAAGUAGAAGUGGAAGAGGAAAGAGAAAUGAGAGAGAGAAGUGGAAGAGGGAGUGAGAGAGAGAAAUAGAGAGAGAGAGAGAAGUGGAAGAGGGAGAGCGAGAAGUGGAAGAGGGGGCAAAAGAGAGAGAGAGAGAAGUGGAAGAGGGAGUGAGGGAAUUAAAAAAAAAAAUCUAUUAAAAAAUAACAAUAGUAAAGAAAAUUUUAAAAAGUACAAAUUUGAAGUCAUGCAGAAAAACAGCUCCUGACUUGUUAUAACGUUUUGGUUGUUUUAAGAGCGAGAUUAGCAUAAAAUGUAUAGGUAAUCAAAUUGUACAACUGAAGAUCAACACAGAAGGAAAAGAUUGACAGAGAGUGAGUUAAAAUACCUAUCUUCAUCAUGGUAGCUAGCCAAAUUCAAAUCUGUCAGCUAGAUUACUGUCUAGCUCCAACUGUUUACUGGUGGUAACCAUAGCAACGUGGCCACUGAGGCAGUGCCAGCAGCAGCAGAGACUGAGACCCCCCCCCUUUUUGAAUACCCAGCAGAAAUCAAAUCAAAGAAGGGAAGAAUCAAUUUUAAACACAGAAUUCUGAGGGAGAACCCAGAAACUUUGUUUGCCGACUGCUCACAAAACAGGACUGUUACAAACCUGUUAUUAUACACAGACCCACUACUGCCUGGCGUACAGCUGUAACCAGGCAUUUCAGCUGUACCACAAAGAAAGGCAUCUGCAAGGGAAGGCAAAUCCACAUGUUUGAGGACAGCGAUAAAGACCAGGAAAACAGGUUACUGACGGUAAACAUGUACCAGAACGGCACUGUCAUGGUCCAGGGCAGUGAGGCUGCACUCAGCUCUGUUGUGCAGGACUUCCCCACUCUAACGAAGAUAGAGGAAACCAAAAAGACAAGGAGAGCAUCCCGACCUCCCCGCUCACCUCAGGCACCCCAACAACAGGUCUAUCCUCCCCCUGCCUGCCUGCCUACAACCACCAGAGACAAGACCACACUACCAUCAGCCUGCGGAGAGACAGGCUGGCUCUGUUAGAGCAGCCCCCCAGCUACACUACCAUCAGCCUGC
ensembl:lncRNA